rnacentral:rRNA from 1 species
UACAGAGGGGGCAAGCGUUAUUCGGAAUUAUUGGGCGUAAAGGGCGCGUAGGCGGCCUGGCAAGUGGAAGGUGAAAUCCCUCGGCUUAACCGAGGAACUGCCCUCCAAACUGCUUGGCUUGAGUCCGGGAGAGGUGAGUGGAAUUCCCAGUGUAGUGGUGAAAUGCGUAGAUAGUCGGGAGGAACACCAGUGGCGAAGGCGACUUCCUGGCCUGUUCUUGACGCUGAGGCGCGAAAGCUAGGGGAGCAAACGGGG